rnacentral:rRNA from 1 species
ACUCAAAUGAAUUGACGGGGGCCCGCACAAGCGGUGGAGCAUGUGGUUCAAUUCGACGCAACGCGAAGAACCUUACCUGGGCUCGAAGCGCAGUGGAAUCCGGUGGAAACACCGGCGCCCGCAAGGGCCGCUGCGGAGGUGCUGCAUGGCUGUCGUCAGCUCGUGUCGUGAGAUGUUGGGUUAAGUCCCGCAACGAGCGCAACCCUUAUCCCUAGUUGCCAGCGAGUAAUGUCGGGCACUCUAGUGAAACCGCCCCGGAUAACGGGGAGGAAGGUGGGGAUGACGUCAAGUCCUCAUGGCCUUUAUGUCCAGGGCUACACACGUGCUACAAUGGUCGGUACAAACCGUCGCAAACCUGCGAAGGGGAGCUAAUCGGAAAAAGCCGGCCUCAGUUCGGAUUGGAGUCUGCAAUUCGACUCCAUGAAGCUGGAAUCGCUAGUAAUCGCAGAUCAGAACGCUGCGGUGAAUACGUUCCCGGGCCUUGUACACACCGCCCGU